rnacentral:pre_miRNA from 1 species
AAUAAAUGAAUUUAUGAGUUUUCAGAUAGAAUUUUUGAGUCUUCGUCUUAUUUGAAAAGUUAUGAUUAAUAUUUUUGUUAUUAUUAUAUGAUAAAACAUGAACAAUACUUUACAUGUGACUAAUUUUUUAAAAUUUUUUAAUAAAUUUUUCAAAUAAGACGGAUGGUCAAACGGUCUAUACAUAAAACUCAGA